rnacentral:rRNA from 1 species
AUUGAACGCUGGCGGCAGGCCUAACACAUGCAAGUCGAGCGAGUGGCGGACGGGUGAGUAAUGUCUGGGAAACUGCCCGAUGGAGGGGGAUAACUACUGGAAACGGUAGCUAAUACCGCAUACCAUCAGAUGUGCCCAGAUGGGAUUAGCUAGUAGGUGGGGUAAUGGCUCACCUAGGCGACGAUCCCUAGCUGGUCUGAGAGGAUGACCAGCCACACUGGAACUGAGACACGGUCCAGACGCCUACGGGAGGCAGCAGUGGGGAAUAUUGCACAAUGGGCGCAAGCCUGAUGCAGCCAUGCCGCGUGUGUGAAGAAGGCCUUCGGGUUGUAAAGCACUUUCAGCGGGGAGGCGUUACUCGCAGAAGAAGCAACGGCUAACUACGUGCCAGCAGCCGCGGUAAUAC